rnacentral:rRNA from 1 species
UCUUGGUCAUUUAGAGGAAGUAAAAGUCGUAACAAGGUCUCCGUUGGUGAACCAGCGGAGGGAUCAUUACCGAGUUUACAACUCCCAAACCCCUGUGAACAUACCAAUUGUUGCCUCGGCGGAUCAGCCCGCUCCCGGUAAAACGGGACGGCCCGCCAGAGGACCCCUAAACUCUGUUUCUAUAUGUAACUUCUGAGUAAAACCAUAAAUAAAUCAAAACUUUCAACAACGGAUCUCUUGGUUCUGGCAUCGAUGAAGAACGCAGCAAAAUGCGAUAAGUAAUGUGAAUUGCAGAAUUCAGUGAAUCAUCGAAUCUUUGAACGCACAUUGCGCCCGCCAGUAUUCUGGCGGGCAUGCCUGUUCGAGCGUCAUUUCAACCCUCAAGCCCAGCUUGGUGUUGGGACUCGCGAGUCAAAUCGCGUUCCCCAAAUUGAUUGGCGGUCACGUCGAGCUUCCAUAGCGUAGUAGUAAAACCCUCGUUACUGGUAAUCGUCGCGGCCACGCCGUUAAACCCCAACUUCUGAAUGUUGACCUCGGAUCAGGUAGGAAUACCCGCUGAACUUAAGCAUAUCAAUAAGNCGGAGGAA